ensembl:lncRNA LINC-PINT long intergenic non-protein coding RNA, p53 induced transcript
AAGCAUUAGGGGAGCCCACGGCUACAAAAACAAGUGAGUGAGAAGAGGUGGGAGGAAGAGAAACUACGCCACCUCCCCUGCAGCCGAGUGCACGCAGCAGCCUGGCGUGACAAGUGGGCGACGCCGGGGGGCAGGGAGCCGGGGUCCUUGGCCCUGGCCGGGGACCCCACCGCCCACCGCGCGGAGGACAACUUUUAGCCGGCAGCCCAGACCAGCGCGGCACCUGUCUCCGGAGUCUCCACCGCUCCUCCCGAUUCAUCCCAGGGAAAUUCUCAAGAAUACGCUCUACAAAUCUACGUGCGCAUCAUUUUCACCUCGCGUCGCGCCCGGGAGGAAGGAACGAGGCAAGGAGCUAAAGCAGCGUGCGUUCAGCCCUGGGGCAUUUUAUUAAUGCUUUUACGAGUUAGAAGAGUUGGGAUAAUUUGCCAUCUGGAGUUUCUCUGCCUUGCUGAUCUGAGCUCAGACCUGCCAAUUUACCAGAGAUAAUUGAUAACACCCUGUAACAGCUGAAGACAGAGUCUUACCCUGUCACCCAGGCUGGAGUACAAUGGUGCGAUCUCGGCUCACUGCAACCUCUGCCUCCUGGGUUCAAGUGAUUCUUCUGCCUCAGCCUCCUGAGUAGCUGGGACUACAGGUGCGCACCACCACACCUGGCUAAUUUUUGUGUUUUUAGUAGAGAUGGGGUUACAUUAUGUUGGCCAGGCUGGUCUCAAACUCCUGACCUCAGGGGAUCUGCCCACCACGGCCUCCCAAAGUGCUGGCAUUACAGGUGUGAGCCACUGCACGUGGCCGAUAAAGCUACUUUUUAAAGUAAAUGUGCACUCAAGUACUCCCUUUAUUGUUUGUGGUAAUAUUUAUUUAUUUAGAUAAUCCAGUUGUCCUCCUUUGGUGUCCCCAGUUCAUACACACCUAAACAUAACUUAAAAUUUGUUUGGAAUUUGAAAGUACAGAAUUUUCCUGUAAUUGAGACUUUUUAAACUUUUGUGGUUGGAGAAGGUAUUCUAUUUUUUGAAAAUAUCUGUAAGUUUUAUCUAAGUAGUAAACUCUAAGUAUUCUUCCCCUUUACUUACAGCCACCCUGGGAAUCUGAGACUAGAGAAAAUAAAGUUUGUCUCUUGUUCUAA